UACAGAGGUCUCAAGCGUUGUUCGGAUUCAUUGGGCGUAAAGGGUGCGUAGGCGGCGCGGUAAGUCGGGUGUGAAAUCUCGGAGCUUAACUCCGAAACUGCAUUCGAUACUACCGUGCUUGAGGACUGGAGAGGAGACUGGAAUUUACGGUGUAGCGGUGAAAUGCGUAGAUAUCAGGAGGAACACCGGUGGCGAAGGCGGGUCUCUGGGCAAUAACUGACGCUGAGGAGCGAAAGCGUGGGGAGCGAACAGG
rnacentral:rRNA from 1 species